rnacentral:piRNA from 1 species
UUUUUAAACGGUUAUCUCUAA